rfam:Ictidomys tridecemlineatus contig037490, whole genome shotgun sequence.
GGGGCUAUAGCUCAGUGGUAGAGCGCCCGCCUUGCAUGUGUGAGGCACUAGGUUCAACCCUCAGCACCA